rnacentral:rRNA from 1 species
CCACUGAUAUGACGUGCUUGCACUGAAUUGACGUUGGAUUCCCAGUGAGCGGCGGACGGGUGAGUAACACGUGGGCAACCUGCCCUGAAGCGGGGGAUAACAUCUGGAAACAGGCGCUAAUACCGCAUAACAACGAAAACCACAUGGUUUUCGUUUCAAAGAUGGUUUCGGCUAUCACUUCAGGAUGGGCCCGCGGUGCAUUAGCUAGUUGGUAAGGUAACGGCUUACCAAGGCGAUGAUGCAUAGCCGAGUUGAGAGACUGAUCGGCCACAAUGGAACUGAGACACGGUCCAUACUCCUACGGGAGGCAGCAGUAGGGAAUCUUCCACAAUGGGCGCAAGCCUGAUGGAGCAACACCGCGUGAGUGAAGAAGGGUUUCGGCUCGUAAAGCUCUGUUGUUGGAGAAGAACGUGCGUGAGAGUAACUGUUCACGCAGUGACGGUAUCCAACCAGAAAGUCACGGCUAACUACGUGCCAGCAGCCGCGGUAAUACGUAGGUGGCAAGCGUUAUCCGGAUUUAUUGGGCGUAAAGCGAGCGCAGGCGGUUGCUUAGGUCUGAUGUGAAAGCCUUCGGCUUAACCGAAGAAGUGCAUCGGAAACCGGGCGACUUGAGUGCAGAAGAGGACAGUGGAACUCCAUGUGUAGCGGUGGAAUGCGUAGAUAUAUGGAAGAACACCAGUGGCGAAGGCGGCUGUCUGGUCUGCAACUGACGCUGAGGCUCGAAAGCAUGGGUAGCGAACAGGAUUAGAUACCCUGGUAGUCCAUGCCGUGAACGAUGAGUGCUAGGUGUUGGAGGGUUUCCGCCCUUCAGUGCCGGA